AGGGCGGUAGUUCAACGGUAGAACGGCGGUCUCCAAAACCGCUAGUGAUGGUUCGAUUCCUUCCCGCCCUG
rnacentral:tRNA from 1 species